rnacentral:rRNA from 1 species
UCCUCCCUCUGGCGGCGUGCCUAAUACAUGCAAGUUGAGCGCUGAAGGUUGGUACUUGUACCAACUGGAUGAGCAGCGAACGGGUGAGUAACGCGUGGGGAAUCUGCCUUUGAGCGGGGGACAACAUUUGGAAACGAAUGCUAAUACCGCAUAAAAACUUUAAACACAAGUUUUAAGUUUGAAAGAUGCAAUUGCAUCACUCAAAGAUGAUCCCGCGUUGUAUUAGCUAGUUGGUGAGGUAAAGGCUCACCAAGGCGAUGAUACAUAGCCGACCUGAGAGGGUGAUCGGCCACAUUGGGACUGAGACACGGCCCAAACUCCUACGGGAGGCAGCAGUAGGGAAUCUUCGGCAAUGGACGAAAGUCUGACCGAGCAACGCCGCGUGAGUGAAGAAGGUUUUCGGAUCGUAAAACUCUGUUGGUAGAGAAGAACGUUGGUGAGAGUGGAAAGCUCAUCAAGUGACGGUAACUACCCAGAAAGGGACGGCUAACUACGUG